rnacentral:rRNA from 1 species
UACGGAGGGGGCUAGCGUUUUUCGGAAUUCCUUGGCGUAAAGCGCACGUAGGCGGCUUCGUAAGUUAGAGGGUAAAGCCCGGGGCUCAACUCCGGAAUUGCCUUUAAGACUGCAUCGCUUGAACACGGGAGAGGUGAGUGGAAUUCCGAGUGUAGAGGUGAAAUUCGUAGAUAUUCGGAAGAACACCAGUGGCGAAGGCGGCUCACUGGACCGUUGUUGACGCUGAGGUGCGAAAGCGUGGGGAGCAAACAGG